CGUUGAAACACCGGUUCCCGUACGAUCUCUGAAGUUAAGCAACAUCAAACCUGAUCAGUACCUGGAUCGGUGACCACUUGAAAUUACCA